UGUAUAGUUAGGAAAAGUACAAUUUACGACAAAUUGAUCUUGUGCCUCUUGGUUGGGUGGUCCUGCAUGUGGAAACCUGGCAGUGGUACAUAUUAAAGGAUUAUGGCUCCUUUAAUGUAACUGCAGCAUGUCGCACCACUACUGAUGUAUGUGUCACUCACGUGCUUUAUAAAAUUAUACCAUUAGAUAACCCCUAGAUCAAGUACUAGCUUCACAAUGACCUGUGACUGAACCAUGUAACAUUGACAUAACAGUUCUCUACAGCAUCAUAAAUUUUUCUUAUGGGAAAAAAUGUCUGGGUGCCCAGCAUCCAGCAUUGCAUCCAGGUGAUGGUACUGCUUGCAAAUUCUUGAAAUAAUUAGUGUAUAUUGAGACGAAUAAUACAGAAGUUGGCUAGUACUAUAACAAAGUGUCUCAGGGGUGGAAUGUCUUAAGCACUUACUACAGCCAUUUAGUUUAUCAGUGUCGGAGCAGACUUGGAGCUGAUCUCACAGCUGACCGCUGAUUUUCCUUAUGCAUUCAUGAUUUCUGUUGAAGAAUUUUAGACCAUUUCAAGUGUAAAUGACUAAA